rnacentral:rRNA from 1 species
UACGUAGGGUGCAAGCGUUAAUCGGAAUUACUGGGCGUAAAGCGUGCGCAGGCGGCUUUGCAAGACAGAUGUGAAAUCCCCGGGCUCAACCUGGGAACUGCAUUGGAAACUAACGGGCUCGAGUGUGGCAGAGGGGGGUGGAAUUCCACGUGUAGCAGUGAAAUGCGUAGAUAUUGGGAAGAACACCUGAGGCGAAGGCGGGUUGCUGGGCUGACACUGACGCUGAGGCGCGAAAGCCAGGGGAGCAAACGGG